CGUGACUUGUGCCACAGGAUUUCAAGUCCUUCCAAGACACAAACUGAUGCUUUUAUCUCAGCUCUAGGCAAACAUCUGUCCUCAUCACUAAUUAAAAGAUGGAGAUAACAAGCAGGCACAAGCUGUUGCCCCCAGCCCUUCUCUGGCCAGGGUAGAGGCAGGGUCAUACCCUCCUGGCACUUCCCAGUCUGUGACUCAUCUCCCUCAUUGGCACAUCAGCCCAUCACCUGGCACAGACAUCCUUCAGAAUGUGUGAAAAGCACUGGAGUAACAACAGAGAGCUCUUGUGCAUCUCCUCCAGGCCGAGCACUUCACAGCUAUUAUCUACUCACCUCCCUCAGACAAAGUUUGGCCUGAGCUGCUGUGCCCUCAUGGGUAUCGAGCCCAUCCUCACAGCCAGCUUCCCUGCUGAGCAGCUUGGAAAAACCCACCUCAGGAAUGCAAGCUGGUACUUGUGUUAUGGAUGUGAGCAUGAAACUGGUUGAUUAGGGCACGGGUAUCAUGUCCUGUUUCUAAAGCAUCCACAAAGAGUUUGGAAAUCCUCUCCCCAAACUCCACAUUGUCGCUGCAGCCUCCCCAGACCCAGCCACGGCCACCUGCAAGACAGACACGGAUGGUAAGAACAGAGCUGCCCCAGUGGGCUGAGUUCUGCCCCAGGACAUGCACUGCAGUGAGGCUGAGGUGACGGCAGCCCAUCUCAUUGCUGGUCGGUCACAGCAGGAUGCAUGUCAGCAUCUUACCUACACGCCCGUUCCUGGAGUCGUCACAGCUGCAGCUCUCGAAGUCUCCCAUGCUGCAGUUCCUGGUCAGGGUGUACAUAACACCAGCGGAGCUGAUGGCGUGCACAAAGGAUGUCUCUCUGGUAGCUGAAGAAGGGAGAAAAGCUGUCACACACAAACAUACGCACCAGUCAUUGUUUAAUGGGAAGGAAGCCCUCUUGUGAAGCCGUCACCAUUCAGAAGGAGCAAGAAGGGGAUAACAAAACAGACUGUGCAAAAGGUCCUGUCAUCAGAAAGUUGUUCACUGACCUGAAACAAAGAAAGGAAAAUGAGCAGCACCAUUUAACACAGGCUCAAGAGCAUCCCCUCCCAUGCCCCGAAUCCUACCAUGCUGCUGCAUUGAGAACAGCUCCAUAGAUGCCCACGAUGGAGAAGAGGAGGAAGGUGCUGCU